AUCGCUUCUCGGCCUUUUGGCUAAGAUCAAGUGUAGUAUAAUUGUUCACAGUAGUAUCUUAUGAGGCUGUGCAUUUCUGUGCCAUCAGUUGUAAUAUUUCUUUUGUUUUUUAUUUUAUUUGAGCCCAC
rnacentral:snRNA from 1 species